GAUAUCGCAAAGAAGUGAAGAAAAACAGUCACAAUCCUGAAUUCUGCUGAGCCUUUAUUUCAAAGUACCACCUCUUUUGAAAUUCUUCAACUGUCACCACGUGAGACCCUAUGAGCACGUCCAAAUGAGGCGGCAAUAAAUACAAAGCUUUCAGAUCCAGAUGAAUUGAAUUAGAAUGGAAAGAGCGAGAAAGACUUAAGAGGCAAGUGCUUACACGCAGAACGACACAGAUGCAGAACGGGUCCUGAAAUGCGGCGCUGCACGCUGCGAUAACGACUGACGAGAGGGAAGAGGAGAAAGCAGAGGGUGAGGCGGGGGCAAGGCAGCCUCGCCGUGCAACGAGUUCCCUUCCUGAGCCUCGGCAAGAAUCACAUCCCAGCUCUGGGAAAGAAUCAGGACAGGAUUCCCAGUGUAUGGGAAACAGAACCUCGGAAGGCUUGUUUUAGAAACUCCGCGCUGACUUUCAACACCUGCUUCGAGGAGCGCUUUCGUCUUGAGUAUUUCCGUGGACGUUGAUGAAGGAGCCGGCAAUGCUUGUCUUAAAUUUUUGUGAAUAAAAGCAAUUCAGAAACGC